rnacentral:rRNA from 1 species
GACGAACGCUGGCGGCGUGCUUAACACAUGCAAGUCGAACGGAAAGGCCCUGCUUGCAGGGUACUCGAGUGGCGAACGGGUGAGUAACACGUGGGUGAUCUGCCCUGCACUUCGGGAUAAGCUUGGGAAACUGGGUCUAAUACCGGGUAGGAGCCAUCUUUAGUGUGGUGGUUGGAAAGUUUUUUCGGUGUAGGAUGAGCUCGCGGCCUAUCAGCUUGUUGGUGGGGUAAUGGCCUACCAAGGCGGCGACGGGUAGCCGGCCUGAGAGGGUGUACGGCCACACUGGGGCUGUGAGACAGCGCAGAGUCCUACGCGGGGCAGAAGUGUGGAAUAUUGCACAAUGUGCGCAGGCCUGAUGCGGCGACGCCGCGUGUGCGAUGAAGGCGUUCGGGUUGUAUACUCCUCUCGCUAGUGACGAAGCUCUUUUGUGACGGUACCUAGAUAAGAAGCACCGGCUAACUACGUG